CAUACUCGAGUGGCGACGGGUGAGUAACACGUGGGUGAUCUGCCUCGUACUUUGGGAUAAGCCUGGGAAACUGGGUCUAAUACCGAAUAUGACCUCUGGAUGCAUGUCUGGUGGUGGAAAGUUUUUCGGUACGAGAUGGGCCCGCGGCCUAUCAGCUUGUUGGUGGGGUAAUGGCCUACCAAGGCGACGACGGGUAGCCGGCCUGAGAGGGCGACCGGCCACACUGGGACUGAGACACGGCCCAGACUCCUACGGGAGGCAGCAGUGGGGAAUAUUGCACAAUGGGCGCAAGCCUGAUGCAGCGACGCCGCGUGAGGGAUGACGGCC
rnacentral:rRNA from 1 species